rfam:Cylindrobasidium torrendii FP15055 ss-10 unplaced genomic scaffold CYLTOscaffold_205, whole genome shotgun sequence.
GGGGACAUAGCUCAGUUGGGAGAGCAGCAGACUGAAGUUCUGAAGGUCCCCAGUUCAAUCCUGGGUGUCCCCA